rnacentral:rRNA from 1 species
AUCUACGGCCAUACCACUCUGAACAUGCCCAAUCUCGUCUGAUCUCGGAAGCUAAGCAGGGUCGGGCCUGGUUAGUACUUGGAUGGGAGAUGGAGUCUCUCUCUGUCACCCAGGCUGGAGUGC